rnacentral:tRNA from 4 species
GCGGGAGUAGCUCAGUUGGUAGAGCAUCAGCCUUCCAAGCUGAGGGUCGCGAGUUCGAGCCUCGUCUCCCGCU